CAACAGCCCUGAUGGAAGCGGCAUCCUCCUUGCCCAGCGUUUGGGCGAGGAGAUACAGCAUACAGCAGGAGUGAGC
rnacentral:sRNA from 1 species